AUACUGGUUGGAGGACUACUCUUAAUUCGGAAGAUGAUUCUGUACAAUAUAAACUUCUGAUAACUCAACGAGCUCAUCUAUAUAUAAAGCAAAAUGGAUUGUUUGGUGUCCCAAGAAUUUGUGGUUACUUUUUCACUGGCCAAGAUUGCCCUUCCGUGUUUUUGAGUUUAGCCUGCGUUUUCAUGGAUUUUGGGGAAUUUCAUAGAUACCAGGGGCAGAUACGUAGUCUUCUCUCCUCCUGUGUUCUUCACUUUCAUUUCAGAAAAACAAUUCUCUCUUUCAUCAAAACAAAUCUCUCCAUCCAAAUCUCUUCUUUCAUCUUCAUCACCUUUGUCGAUCGUGCUAGAUUGGGUUUCGCACUCUAUAUUUCGAAUUUAGAGUUCUGAGUUUUGAUUUGAUUGAAUAUUCAAUCAUCAUCUAACCUGUAACCCUAAAUUCGAAAUUGGGUGAAUAAAUCGAACCACCAGCACCAUCACCAUCACCAACUUCGUUCUCUUCCUUGGGGAAAUUAUAAAUUGGAUUAGUUGAUUUAAAUUGGAUUGAAUUGAUUGGAUUAUGAACUUUAAUCCAACUGGACGCAACAUCCGGAGGAAACAAGAUUUUUGCUUUACAUCUCUAAAGUGGAGCAUAGAACCAGUAUAGAGGAAGUGAUUCUAGCAUCGUAGUCCAGGAAGGUCCAUCAAAAGGAAGAACUGGACUGGAACUGGAAAUGAUACCAGAAUAUCAACUGACUGAAUCAGUGGAAGAACUAGGCUGACGGUACGGCCUAUCCAGUACCCUAAGAUAUCUGAGUCCUAGAGUUUGUUGUUUUAAACUUAUUUUUCACGGGAUUUUUUUUUGUUCCUGCUGUUCCAAUGUCCUAGGUGUCAUUUGGUUUUCCCAUGAUAGUUGAAAAAUUAAUCAACAGUGUCAUGUUCAGUGUAUUUUCUCUUUCUGAGCGGGGUAAUACAGGUUUGUGAAACCAUUGCUUUAUUGCGGGAAAUCAUUGGGCAAUUCAUUUAUCUACUGGCUCAUUAUUGUGAUAGAAUUUGAGCACCAGGAGUCCAGGAUUACAUUAGAACAAAAAAACCAUGUCUGUGCCAUUAUGUCUGCCUUGGUGCAAUUUUUAUAAAGACAACAUACAAUGUAUUGAAAUGUUACUUGAAAUCAAUAAAACCAAUUAAAU